AUUGAACGCUGGCGGCAUGCCUUACACAUGCAAGUCGAACGGCAGCGGACCUUCGGGUGCCGGCGAGUGGCGAACGGGUGAGUAAUAUAUCGGAACGUACCUUUCAGUGGGGGAUAACGUAGCGAAAGUUACGCUAAUACCGCAUAUUCUGUGAGCAGGAAAGCAGGGGAUCGCAAGACCUUGCGCUGAUUGAGCGGCCGAUAUCAGAUUAGCUAGUUGGUGAGGUAAAGGCUCACCAAGGCGACGAUCUGUAGCGGGUCUGAGAGGAUGAUCCGCCACACUGGAACUGAGACACGGUCCAGACUCCUACGGGAGGCAGCAGUGCGGAAUUUUGGACAGUGGGCGCAAGCCUGAUCCAGCCAUGCCGCGUGAGUGAAGAAGGCCU
rnacentral:rRNA from 1 species